UACGUAGGUGACAAGCGUUGUCCGGAUUUACUGGGCGUAAAGAGCGCGCAGGCGGUCGAUCAAGUCGAGUGUGAAAGCCCCCGGCUCAACUGGGGAGGGUCAUUCGAUACUGAUCGACUCGAAGGCAGGAGAGGGUAGUGGAAUUCCCGGUGUAGUGGUGAAAUGCGUAGAUAUCUAGAGGAACGCCAAAGGUGAAGACAGGCGACUGGUUUGCAACUGACGCUCAUGGACGAAAGCGUGGGGAUCAAACGGG
rnacentral:rRNA from 1 species